CUUUUUGAGAGUUUGAUCCUAGCUCAGGAUGAACGCUGGCGGCGUGUCUAAGGCAUGCAAGUCGAGCGACGUGCUGUGUAGCACAGAAAUUUUGAUGAUAGCCGUUACGUCUGUAGAGACGUAGCAAUGCUACGUCUCUACGCGAGAUGUUCGAAAUUUAUGCGCUACGCAGUUACGAGCGGCAAACGGGUGAGUAACACAUUGGUAACCUGCCUCCAAGUCAGAGACAGCUCGCCGAAAGGCGAAUUAAUAUCUGAUAGUCACGAGGGGACGAAAGUCAUUCUCGUGUAAAGGUUUUUCGCUUGGAGAGGGGCCUAUGGCCUAUCAGCUAGUUGGUGAGGUAAUGGCUCACCAAGGCUACGACGGGUAGCAGGCGUGAGAGCGCGACCUGCCUCAGUGGGACUGAGACACUGCCCACACUCCUACGGGAGGCUGCAGUCAAGAAUCUUCCUCAAUGGCCGAAAGGCUGAAGGAGCGACGCCGCGUGCAGGAUGAAGGUCUUCGGAUUGUAAACUGCUUUUAUAGGGGACGAAUUAGUGACGGUACCCUAAGAAUAAGAGGUUGCUAACUCUGUGCCAGCAGCAGCGGUAAUACAGAGACCUCAAGCGUUAUCCGGAUUUAUUGGGCGUAAAGCGUCCGCAGAUGGUUUGGCGGGUGAGGAGUUAAAACUUAUCGCUUAACGAUAAGACUGCUUCUCAAACUACCAAACUCGAGGGUGGGAGAGGUAAGCGGAAUUCUCGGUGUAGUCGUAAUAAGCGCUGAUAUCGAGAAGAACACCAAAUGCGAAGGCAGCUUACUGGAACACUCCUGACAUUCAGGGACGAAAGCGUGGGGAGCAAACAGGAUUAGAUACCCUGGUAGUCCACGCCCUAAACUAUGUGCACUAGGUAUUGGCAGUAUCGACCCUGUCAGUGCCGUUUAAAAAAGCUAACGCGUUAAGUGCACCGCCUGGGGAGUACGGCCGCAAGGCUAAAACUCAAAGGAAUAGACGGGGACCCGCACAAGCGGUGGAGCAUGUGGUUCAAUUCGACGAUGAACGAGGAACCUUACCUGGGUUUGACAUUUAGCUGCAAGGCCGCAGAAACGCGGCCCGCCUUCGAGGGUGCUAAACAGGUGCUGCAUGGCUGCCGUCAGCUCGUGCCGUGAGGUGUACCAUUAAGUUGGGAAACGAGCGCAACCCACGUUGCGUGUUACAUCGGACACACAAGACUGCCCAGCACUUUGAAUAUGAACAGGAACCCCGCCACAAGCGGGGUAAAGUUUCUGCAGUUCAUAAAAACGUCAAAUAUUGUCACAAUAAUGAUUAGAGUACCAAAAGUAUAAUAGUAUAUUGUGUACAAGUUUUUAUGGAUUGUAGAUAACUGUUCGUAAGCAGAGUGCUGGGAGGAAGGAGUGGACGACGUCAAGUCAGCAUGGCUCUUACAUCCAGGGCUACACACAUACUACAAUGGGGUGCAACAAUGGGUUGCCAAGUCGCGAGACGGAGCUAAUCCCACCAAACCACCCCCCAGUUCAGAUUGAAGGCUGCAACUCGCCUUCAUGAAGCCGGAAUCGCUAGUAAACGCAUAUCAGCCACGGUGCGUUGAAUACGUUCUCGGGUCUUGUACUCACCGCCCGUCAAACCAUGGAAGCUGGCAGUGCCCAAUACCCCGCCUCGGCGGGGCUAAGGCAAGGUUAGUGACUAAGGUUAAGUCGUAACAAGGCAUGGGUAGCGGAAGCUGCUCAUGGAUCACCUCCUUU
rnacentral:rRNA from 1 species